rnacentral:rRNA from 1 species
GACGUAGGGCGCGAGCGUUGUCCGGAUUUAUUGGGCGUAAAGAGCUCGUAGGCGGCUUGUCGCGUCGACCGUGAAAACUUGGGGCUCAACCCCAAGCCUGCGGUCGAUACGGGCAGGCUCGAGUUCGGUAGGGGAGACUGGAAUUCCUGGUGUAGCGGUGAAAUGCGCAGAUAUCAGGAGGAACACCAAUGGCGAAGGCAGGUCUCUGGGCCACUACUGACGCUGAGAAGCGAAAGCAUGGGGGAGCGAACAGG